rnacentral:tmRNA from 1 species
GGGGCCGUUCCGGUUUCGACUGGAUGUGCUGAAUGCCGGUUGCAUGCCGAGGAUGAUCGUUGGCCUCGUUAAUCAUCGGUCAAAAAAAUAACAGCGAACGAAGAGUACGCUCUCGCUGCCUAAGUUGCGGCGACGUUUCCUCCCUGACGAACGCUAAGGGAACGAAGCGCGGACAGCGAUCUGGCUUGAAGGCUCUAUCUGGCGGCCCGAUAGCGAGAUUUCAGCCGGAGCAGUCCCAAAGCCGCCAGUCCGCCGGCUAAGCUGAGAGACGCAAAACAUUCAAGUGCGGAAUAAGCAUGUAGACACCGUCAGGAUGUCAUCUCAGGACGGGGGUUCGAUUCCCCCCGGCUCCAAAA